rnacentral:lncRNA from 1 species
UUGGUCUUUACUCAAAUUUAGAUUCACGUUCACGUUUGUAUCCGUUCUCUCUUUCUUCACCAUAGAUUGCUUAUCCACUUGGGAAUCAUUUCGUCCCCGACUUUUCUUCUGUUUCAGCUUUCUUUUCGCUUCCUACUUUUUCAACGCCUACAUCUCCCACUUUAUCUGCUAAUUUAGAAGUGCGCUCUUCAGCUCUAAUGACUCGAUUGGCGACGGAGACGGCGCGUUCGAUUAGGAUGACACCAUUUGGUGCUCGUACUCUCUUAGAUCUACGUUGAAUCCGUUGGCCAACUUCAAUUUCUCUAAGUUUCAAAAACUGUCAUCGAUUGACAGCCCCAAAUUUGGCUUAACCUCCUCCUCUAACAGUCUGCUUUGAAGGUUUUCACCAUUUUUGCAGAACUCAAAAAUUAGAAAAGCUUGAAGCUUGAAGCUUUUUUUUUUUUUGUUAGCUUUGAAAAUCUUUAGGGUUUUUUGGGUUCAGAUUUUCCGAGGGGGAGAACAAGGGGAAAGGGAAACAGUUGGAGACGGAAGCAAGGGAGAGAACCACGUGGCGGAAAACUAGAAAAAGACAAGGACGGUGGGUGGACACGGAGGAUAUUUUGGAUAUAUUAAGCAAAUAGGAUUGGCCACACUCCACCGUUGAGAUGUCAAUAGCAUAGAGUUCCUAUGAGCGAGGGAGUGGGCCCCGUGUUUACCACGUCAAUAGCUAACAUACAAAUUAACAAACAAGGAAACGAGGUAUGACAUUGCAACAAAUUCAUAAGUUAAUGUAUGACAUUGUAAUGUUCAAAAGAUGAGGUAUGAUUUUGUUCUAUGACUCAAAGUUAAGGUGGUAAAAUGUAAUUUAUCAUUUUUUAUUUUUUAAAAGUUUGGGUGAGGGAGUGGGCCCCACACCUGCUACAUCAUCAUUUAACGGCCAAAUUGAUAGAAAAUUUAAUAAAGGUCUACCAUUGCAAUGAAUCGUAAGUUGAUGUAUGAUAUUGCAAUGUUUAAAAGCUGAGGUGUGAAGUUGUCUCAUCAUGUGCAUCUUUUGGAGAAACUUAGUCCUUUAAAAGAGGGGAGUUAAUUUUUCUUUCUAUACAACAAUUGUGAUUUAAGCUAAACUGCACAAUGGACUAGCAAUAAUAAUUUAGUAUUGAACCUAAAAUCUCAAUGACAAGUAAAACUUGAACCACGUGACUUUGCACCUCUUGUUUUUAGAUCACUCAAUACACUACUUGUGAAACUUGAACCAAACUCUGAAAACCCGAUGACCGAGACCCUAAUGCCUAAAGCUCAACUUCAGGGUUGUGGCCACUAGAGACUGAUCUGGGUGACGUCGUCACUCAAUACCAAGGUCUGAAACUCCAGCGCCUAAGACUUGAAACCUUGGACCUCAACCAGUGAUCCUGGUGUUAGGGAUACAGAUUCGGGGACUUGUAUCCCGAACACCAAACAAAAUUCUUCCUCGCAUUUUGGGGCUGGGCCACAAACUAGACUACACUCCUAUUAGAGCCCAAAACUACCAAAAAUCGCGAAGGAAGACGCUGCUAGGGUUUAAGCUCUCUCUCUCUCUCCCUCUCUCUCUCUCUCUCUCGCUCUCCCUCCCCCACCUCCCCUAUCUCUCCCUCCCCUUUCAAGGAACAGAAAAGAAAAGCGAACAUGUCUCGGCCGGAGCUGCAAGCUCCACCCGAGAUAUUCUACAAUGAAGAGGAAGCUCGAAAGUACACUCGCAAUUCCCGAAUCAUGGAAAUUCAGUCGGAGCUCUCCCACCGAGCCCUAGAGCUUCUCGCUCUCCCCGACGACGGCGUCCCCAGGCUGCUCCUCGAUAUUGGUAGUCCUUCGAAACCCAACUCCCGCAAUCUUUCAAUUCUGUUUUCGUAAAAAAGUCCCAAAGGGGUUUGAUUUUAUUCACUGAACGGUGAAAAAUCGGAGUGAGUGAUUGAGCUUUUUACUGCAGGUUGUGGGUCGGGGCUCAGCGGAGAUACAUUGUCAGAGAGUGGGCAUCAGUGGAUUGGUUUAGAUAUUUCCCAGUCGAUGCUUGGUAUGUGGUUUUUUCGGGUUUUGCUUAUUCGUUUUCGAUGUUUUGUUUUGGUUUUGAGCUUCUUUGAUGGAUUCCAUGGUUUGUUUCUAAAUGGGAAUUACAUUUCUUUGAUGAUUGGAGAUGUGGCAUUGGAGAAUGAGGUUGAGGGUGAUCUUUUGCUCGGGGACAUGGGUCAGGUAUCACACUUAAUGGCUCGUGCUUCAGUUUUUCGUGGACGGAAAAAAGAGGGAAAAACUGCAUACAAAUAUGAUAUGGUUCAACCUGAAAUUGUUUUUCUAUCAGCAUAUCGUAAUUGUUCGAUUUUGUUUCAGGGCUUUGGACUUCGUUCAGGAGUUAUUGAUGGAGCGAUAAGCAUCUCAGCCGUUCAGGUUUACAUUGUGUUUUCACUCACUAGUACUUGCAAUGAUGGAUAAUGGAUACACCCUCACCACAUCGAACUUCAACAAUCCGAACCGUCUACUUAAAAGCUCUUAGAUCAUCCUUGCAAAAUAUUAGCCAAAUCGAAAAUAUUUGAGACAUAAAUUGACAAACACUUUGUUUUAUAAGAAACACUGAAAUUUCAUUGUGAUAAUUAAAUAGGCAAAUGGUUUCGAAUUGAAUUGAAUUUUUGCAAGGAUGAUUUAUGAAUCGAGACUUACAAAAUAGACGGUUCGGAUCGUUUAAGUUCGAUGUAGAGUGGGUCCCAAUCCCUUCCCUUAAAGGCCCUGUUUAGCUGGAUUUUUUUUCCUAUCUUAGCUUGUGUCCCUUGUUUUGUCAGUUUUUUAUUUUAUAUUUAUAUACCCAAUAGUUAAGCGCUCAAAAUUCAAUUAUUUCCUUUCUGUUUUGAAUAUUUUUGCUGAAGUUUUUGCAAUGUUGUACCUGUCUUUUUGUUUCUUCAAUUUUCUAAACUACUGAGACUACUUCAUGUAUGCUUUUUUUAUGUUUUGAUACGGUUUACUAUAUGAAUAUUACGCCAAUUUCUCUUUAUCAUUUUGUUCAAUGCAGUGGUUGUGCAAUGCUGAUAAGUCAUCACAUAAUCCACGAUUACGAUUGAAGUAUGUUGUGUUUCUUGUUGGUUUUUAUAUCCUCGUCAUAAAUUCUAUAUCAUUAUAUGCUUGAAAUGCAAUGAAAAGUGUGCCAUGAUCUUCUUAUUCUUGGACUUUUUAUGACAUUAAGCAUCGGUUGAGCCUGCAAUCCUUUUUUCAAUUUCAGUAUGAAUGUUGCUGUCUUAAUUCCUUUGUAGGGCUUUCUUUGGAUCAUUAUACAGAUGCUUAGCAAGGGGAGCAAGGGCAGCAUUUCAAGUUUAUCCUGAAAAUCUGGACCAGCGCGAGUUGAUUUUGAGUUCUGCAAUGCGUGCUGGAUUUGCGGGGGGUGUCGUUGUUGAUUUUCCCAACAGGUAUGCAAGAAACCAAUUAUGUUUUCUUGUGUCAUAGGCUGUUAGCUCGUCUGAAACAAUGUGGUUACUAGAUUACUUUCUAAGCUGCUCAUGCAUGAUCCCACAUAUCCACUAAACAAAUGGCUUCUGGUAUAUGAACCUUUGUAGGGCUUCUGCAUCAUCUUUUGCAAAAUGCAUCUGAUCGGCCUUUAUAAUACAUAAAGGGUCUGAACAUUGCUAACAAAAAUGCACGUGCAUGGAGUUUGAAUAUUUAUGCUUCACGGAAACUAUUGAGAGAGGGUCAGGGAACUAGUACAAAAUAUAGGGCAAAAUGUUGGAUUCUGACUUCACAUGGAAUUUUUAAUAUCUAAAUUCUUUCAGUAGCAUUUUCCUCUAACUUAAGGAAUAUCUUGUUACAGUUCCAAGAAACGAAAGGAGUACCUUGUCCUCACUUGCAAUUCACCAUCUAUUACCACUUCUACUCCCAAGGGAAAAGGCGAAGAUGGCGAGGGUUCCACUGAUGAUGAGAGUAGUGAAGAUGAAGAAAAUCAGACAGUAAGUUUUUACGGAUGCAUUUACUAUUACUAUAUCUCUUGUUUUUCUCGAAGUCUAAUGUAAAGUCAAGGCUGCUAAACUUAAAUCUAUCUGUGUGCUCUGACAUGAAUUUCUAAUUUGUUAUAUUUUAUUCGUGGGGAGCAGGUUUCAAACUCAGACAGGCACAGGCCGAGGAAAAAGCAGAAGACAAAUAAGAAAGGCAAGGGAAGAGAAUGGAUACUAAAGAAGAAGGAACAGAUGAGAAAAAAGGGAAAUGUUGUUCCACCAGACACCAAAUACACAGCUCGGAAAAGAAAAGCUCGAUUUUGAUCUUACAACCGGACUAUAUCAUACCGUUUUGGAGCGAUGGCUUUAGUGUUUGCUUUACACAGUUUGUACAGGCGUCUACGAAGGCAUUACCAUUUUCUCUUCAGUGCUGGAAGGUGCCGUGUAAAGCAGAUUAUAAACAGAUCUCUCCGGGCAACGGAUCUGGUUGUUAUAUGAUUCAGUCCUGUAACCUUAACUAGUUUAAGAAAAGAGACUUUAUUCUGUUUUAAGACAAUCUCCAACAUAAAAUUACCAAAUGCUAAAUGUUGUUUACGUAAAGUCUAGACUUAUGUUUUUGGCUUUCCUUGUCAAUAAUGUAAUACAUACCAUGCAUGCACAAAUUAGUUUGAGGACAUUGCACAAAGGGCUAAUAUUGUUGGAAAUAUUUACUCAAGGGUUUGGGCCACUUCAAAGGUUUGUUCAUGCACAUGCUUUUUACAUUUAAAAUUUUCUACCGCUUUUGAUUAGUGAUGUCUGGUCAGAAUUGGUUGUUGCUUUCUAGCUAGCUGGCCACGAAAAUUAACGCUCCCCGCAUGGGCUGAUUGACAUUUUUUGGCUGAGGGAUUCUUUUAGCACUUGAUCUACUCAAAUCGUUUUCUGGGUUGACAAGUGCUUCUUGUACUUGCUAGCUCAAAACAAGCAAUCUUUUUGCUUAAAGUCCUAGCUUGGCUUCAUUUUUCACUUGGUUGUCCAUAUUAAAUUUCAAAGAGAUAGAGUGCCUUCAAAAGCUUUUGAGCUUGCCUAUGACAAGUCUUGUGCUUGCUAGCUGAAAACAAGCAAUCCUUUUGCUUAAAGCCCUAGCUUGGCUUCAUUUUUCACUUGGUUGUCCAUAUUAAAUUUCAAAGAGGAGUGAUUUCAAAAAGCUUUUGAGCUUGCCUCUUCUCAGUUAUGGAACCCUAGCUGCCAAACUAUUUUUCAUGCAUAAAAAUUCCCCAUUGAGAAAUAGGUUUGCAUUGUUUACAUGGUCUAACUUUUAAGUUUCAAAUCUUCAUUAAACCUAGUUUUAGGGUUCAAGUUGGUUUCUUCCUUAAACUAUUUGACUGGAGAAACUGCCUGAUAUGUGUUCAAAUUGUUCUAGGAAUGAGUUAAGAGAGAUAUUAAUCUCCACAUGUUGAUUUAGUGAAACUUGACAUGUAUGAGGCAGUUUCAACUAUUUAUAAUGCGCUUUGAAUUGGGAGCUUUAAUGAAAAGGGUUUGGGUUAAGUUUAAUUUAACAAAAAACUACCUUAUACUAUUAUUUAAUCAAAAGGGUUUUAUAUUUAAUUAUAAUGACAAAACUAAUCUAUAUCACACCUACACACAUUUAACACACAUGGGCUGAAUUAAAAGGUCAAAACGAAAUAAUUUUUUUUCCAACCUUGCCCCUAACAACAAUCCCAUUAUGUCAGCCAAUUCUGUUAGAAAUAAAUUUCUCUUUAUUUUCAAGUAUGCCAUUCUAUCAGCAAGUUCCUUCUCUCUUCGUUUUUUUUUUUUGGCCGUUCGUUCUCUCAUGGUUUUGCUUAUUUAUUUUUUUGUUUUCUUCUUGUCGUCCCCCUUCCACCUGAAAGGGAAUUAAAACCCAACGUGUGUGAAGGAAAGUGGCCACCUUCUCUUUUACUAUAUAUAUAUAUAUAUAUUUAUUUAUUUAUUUAUUAUUAUUUAUUUGUAAUUAGGUGGUUCAUAUUCUUUUGUUGAUCAAACACCACCUUUAAUUUUGCUUGUCACUUAGAACCCACUUUCCUAGAAUGCAGGAGCCACUUCCAUUAGAAAUUAUCCUAGUUUCAUUUUCACUUGGUGAGUUUUGGUAGAUUUGCUUGUGGGGUCUUGACUCUUGAUGGAUAAAACAAUGGUCUUAUAGAUUUGCCCGCAGAGCUUCGGUGUUUUUAGCGACUCGGAUGUUUCCAAUACCACCACCUUUUCCUCAUUAUCUGGCCUUCCCCGCAGUGUUGUUCAUGGUUUUGUUCUGUCCUAGCAACAACUUGAAAAAUGCAUCGAUAUUGUACUAACAAUUUGAUACUUUACGUCUUCGAGUAAAAGAAAGAAAGAUCAAAUAGCUACAAUAUUUCCCCAAGUAAACAAAAUUAUCAAUUAUAAACAUUGAACACUACCUAUUUCUUGAAUUGGAUACGAGUACUGUCACUAUUUCUUAAAUUGAAAACUGGUACUAUCAUUGACACGUCCAACCCUAAUAUCAUUCGAUCACCAAGGUAGGCACAUGCUGGCCGAUACCCGAAGGUGACGAAACCAUACUAAGAUGCAUGAGAACCAAAGAAUAUAAAUAAAUACUUAUAAAUUUAAAUAUAAUUAACAUGCAAAUGAGGAAUGUGUUCAAAGUAUACAACUAAUUUAGAGCACUAAAAAGAAAUAAUAUAAAAUUGAAUGAACAAAGAAAUGGGCCUACACCAAGAGGACUCGAAGAUGCCGAUGUGGGAAUGCUUUGACACCGGGAUUGUACGUCUCGAUUCUAAGUCCUGAGGGGGCACAAAACAAAACAUGAGUGGACCAAGUUGAUAUAUAAGUAGUACAAACAUAGUUAUUCCACAACAUACUAACCCCCAAAGUUUAUGAAAACUAAUAGCAUAAUAUGUGAUAGGUUUUCCGAAAACCCUAGCAUGCCAUAAACCUUUCAUAAAAUAUAUAUCAUAUAUAGUGUGGUAACUAGUGGUAUCAUAAUUGCCCGAAGGCUCUCCAUCAUGCGCCUGUAGGCAGAACAUACACCCGUAGGCAGGACAAUGACCACUAGAUAAGCGUAAAAACAUUGCAUAUAAUCUUUCCAACAUAAUUAUAUAUAUCUUAACGAAGCUCAGUAGUUCAAAUAUCAUAUCUCAAAACAUCUUCAUAGUAUAUAGUCAUCCAUCAUAUAUACUACAAAGAACGUAAAUUUGAUAAAGCAUGAUAUUCCAAAAUAUUCUUACUAAAACAUGAUAUCCCAUAAAAAGUAAAAUCUAAUUUACUCAUGAAACAUUUUAUAAAACGUAACCAUUAAAUCAUGAUUUUCAUGUAUGCAUUUCUAAUAGCAAAAAUUAUGCAUUUUGGAAGGGGUCCACUCACAGAUACAUCGCCGUCGAAGAGCCACGCAAACUAGCGAAGACAGAAAUGCCACAAUAAAUACACCUAAGCACAUAAAGGGUCCAAUUAAUAAAACUCUACCAUAACGAUUGAAUUUCUGAAAACAGACGUCAUAAACAGAUUCGGGAUGUUGAAAAGCAUAAAGGGGAACCUUGGGUACCCUCACGUGCCUUCACGCACGCCACGGGGUGGCGGCCCCGACGGCUACGCGUCACCGUACGCUCCAUUUUAAGUUGCUGAAAGUUGGCCGAAAAAGUUGCCGGUGCUGCUGUAGAUGCUGGCGGAGCACAAUACCUCCGGCAGAGGAGCAUGUGCUCUACACGCCAGCAUAGGCGACCCUUCACGGGCGCCCUGGGUUCUGGGUCUGAUUGGGUCUGGGCCGGAUCUUGGGCUUGGGCUCCCUAGGGUUUAGGCUUGGGGUUUAUUGGGCCGAAGGCUCGAGUUGCAUGGCCCAAAGGCCUGGGUUCAAAGGAUCUGGGCUGUAAGGUUGGGCCUGAGCAACUAGGCCUGGGCCGAGAGUCUAGGCCAAAGGUUUUAUAGCCCAAAGGCCUAGUUUGGGUCUCAGGUUUAAUGGGUUCAAAAAGGGUUUUGGGCUUGGUAGCCCAUCCCAAAGCUUUGGGCUAGAUGACCUGGGUAUCCAGGUUUGGGUUGGUUGACCUGGUUUUGACGGAAAAUGAGGCCCGAGGUUCCCGAGAUCCGUUCAACUCGGCUUCUCAACCAUACUCGGUGAUUAAACCAAUGAAAUGAAGCUACAAGUGAGAAAGAAGCGAAACAUACCAUUUUUUAAGCCCAGCCGUGGUCGGGAAAUCCAAGUGGAGCUACGGUCCAUUGCCGGAGGAAAUCAUUGGGUUCUUUGUGCUUCACAGAUGAGAGGGAGAGAGAGAGGCCCAUCACGGUGGUGGUGGUGGUGCCGUUGUGAUGAGUGGGUGGGUGUGUGCGUUGGUCCUUGAGGAAGGAGAGAAGAGUGAGAGAGAGAGGUUUGCAAAAGGGAGAGAGGUUCGAGAGAGAGUGAGGGAGCUCGGAAGAAGGAGAGAAAAGGGAAAGAUGAGGUGGGGGUGCCACAUGGUCGGCAAAGAAGAAAGGAGGGUCAAGGACCAAAAAGAAAGCUGGGCGCCACCCAGCUCACCAUUUAAGGCCCAAAAGUAACAACCCAAAAUAUUUUUCACCUGUAAAAUUUCCAAAAUGCUCUUGUUCCAAAAUCCGUAAAUAAAAAUCGGGAUGGGUUGUUACAAUCAUUAUUUCUUAAACUGAACAUUGACUAUUCUAGUUCUAGAACUAAACAUGGAUUUUAUCACUAUUUCUUAAACUGAACAUUUAUAGUAUCAUUAUGUGUUAAACUGAGCACUCACUAUUUUGUAAACUGAAUACAACUAUUAUCAUUAUUUCUUAAACUGAGCACUCACUAUUUCGUAAACUGAUCACAUGUAUUAUCACUAUUUCUUCUGAACAGUGAUAUUAUUACUAUUUCUUAAACUGAACACGGACUAUUUUUAGAACUGAAUCUGGGUAUUGUCACUAUUUCUUAAACUAAACACUGACUAUUUCUAGAACUAAAAACUGGCUAUUUAUUAAACUGAACACUAAUCAUUUCUCGAAUUAAACAAGGGUGCUAUCAUUAUUUUUUAAACUAAGCACUGAUACUAUCACUAUUUCUUAAAUUGAACAUUUACUAUUCUGUAAACUGAACAUUCAUUAUUUCGAAAACUAAACACGGGUAUUAUUACUAUUUCUUAAACUGAAUAUGGGUAUUAUCACUAUUAUUUAAACUUAACACUAAUAUUAUCUCUGUUUCUUAAAUUGAAUAUUGACUAGUUCUUAAACUGAAUACUAACUAUUUUAGAACUGAACAUGGGUACUGUCACUAUUUUUUAAUUUAAACACUGAUUAUUUCUAAAACUGAAAACUGACUAUUAAACUGCACAUUAACUAUUUCUCAAAUUGAAUAACGGUACUAUCAAUAUUUUUUAAACUGAGCACUGAUACCAUCACUAAUUUUUAAACCAAACACUGACUAUAUCUAUUAUCACUAUUUCUUAAACUGAACACUGCUACUAUCACUAUUUUUUUAAACUUAACACUAACUAUUUCUUAAACUAAAAACGGGUAUUGUUACUAUUUCUGAAACCGAAUAUUAGUAAUAUCACUAUUUCACUAGUAAAAAAAAGCUCAUUUACCACGAUAAAUGCCCGUGAUAGAUUGCAAUCCACCAUGGACACUGCGUCCGUUAGUAAUCUGGAUGUAAUAAAAAGUCUCAGUUUCUACCACGAGCUAUGCCCGUUGUCAAAUGUGAUAUAACCACGGAUUGUGACCAUGGUAAAUUGGGAUCUAAAACCAUGUGCACUAUGGCCGUUGUGGAUUAUAGAUUGACCACAUCUAAUACCCGUUAUACAAAAAUAAAAAAAUAUAAAAUCAUUUACUAAAUAUAUAUAUAUAUUAUUUAUAUACAAAAUUGCACAUUUACUACGAUUUAAUAAUUCCAUAAAAAAAUCAUGAUUCAAAUAUUACAAACUAUACACUAAAGCUAACAACAAAAUAAUAAGUUAUAUUAAGAAAUACCAAACUACCCACAAAGUAUCAAAUAUGCCUCUAAUAACAAGAACAUUGUCAAUUGAAGACUUCACAUUUCUUUGGACACCUCCAAACAAAGGACCUUCAGAGUGAUCUACUGCCCCUAAUGCUUGAGCCUCAACAAUUGUUGCGUCUCUAUAUUUGCAUGGACAUAAGCAUAUAGAUCUAUAGGUGGAAAUAUACAUUUGAUCUCAAUCAAGAAAAGUGAAUAGAUAUACAAAACUUGAAGCCAAAAGUUAACCAGUAAAGACUUGAACAGAUGUACGAGUCUCUAACAGUCCAUACAAGAAGCCAAAAAUUAACCAAUAAAGACUCAAACAGAUAUAUAGAACAACUUUGACAAGAGCAUGAGUGUAAAAUUAACAUUGCAUAUACAAUGAAUGGAGUAAAUACAGAACUUAGGAUUCGAAUAGUGUAUGCAAACAAAUCAGUAGAGGUUCGUCUUAACCAAAAAAUCUCCCAAAAUAGAGAAACAGAGCUGCAGUACCUGAGAGAGCUCUCAGAAAGCAGUAAAGUGAAAGAGUUGGCUUCGUUGUAUCAAUGUAUAAUCUUCAUGGCACUAAUGCAAUUUUUAUCUACAUUUCACACACUGAUGUCAGGUCAGAAGAAUAUAAAAGGAAUCAUCACAAUCCAAAUAAUUAUUGAACCGUACAGAUUAGAGAGACGGUUGCGAUUGCGAAGAAGGUGGGGGUGAAUGUGGGGGCGGGGGUGAAGGUUGGGGGUGGGACUUUGAGAGAGAAAUGAGUUGUUUAUUUCGGAGAAACCGCCGAUGGAAGUGAAUGGGUGAGCCUCGGCGGUUGGUGUUCGUCAGAUAUGGAAUUGGUACAUAUUGGGAAUUUUAUUUAGAUAGAGUGGGUUUGAAUAAUAACAAAUAUCAGAUAUUUAAAAAAAAAAUCAUAUUAUAUUAUUAUAUUGGUUGAUUAAAUAAAUUACAUUUACAACAUUUAUGAACUGUGAUUGAUUUCAAAAAGGUAUUGUGAUUAUAUUUAUUUAAUCAACGGGCUACCCUUGUGGUCAUAUCAAUUAAAUACAAUAGGCUUUACUUGUGCGUUAUUAUUUUAAUAAUAUUUUAUUACGGGUCAGUUUUACUCAUUGUUAAAACCAUUUAUUUAUUCACAACAAACUUUCAAUGUUUGUGGUAAAGUUGGGUUUUCCGCAACGGGUCAUUUAUGCCCGUGGUGAAUUAAUUGUGGUAAAUGUGGUGUUGUCUUGUAAAUUUCUUAAACUGAAUAAUAGUAAUAUCAUUAUUUUUUCAAACUGAAUACGGAUUAUUUCUAGAACUGAACUUGUAUAUUAUUACUAUUUCUUAAACUGAACAUUGCUACUAUCACUAUUUUUUAAACUUAACAUUAACUAUAUCUUCAACUGCAUGUAUUAUCAUUAUUUCUGAAACUGAAUACUAGUAAUAUCACUAUUUCUUAAACUAAAUACUAGUACUAUCUUUAUUUCUUAAACUGAAUACUGACUAUUUAUAGAACUCAAUACUGAUACUAUCACUAUUUAUGUAACUAAACAUUGACAUUACCACUAUUUCUAGAACUGAACACUACCACUAUUUCUAAAACUAAAUACCGCCACACCAUUUUUAGAACUAAAUUUGAAAGUAUCAAUUUUGAGGAAGCACUUACAUGAGAAGGAAGCGCAUGAGGAGAGGAUUAAACUUUUCAUUUAGUUGGAAAACUAAAAUUUCAUAAAUAGUGUUAGAAAAAUGAGAAAAGGAACUUUAGACAUCGAUAAUUGUAUGCAACAAAAUAACUGCAGGCUGUUUAGUCAUGCAAUCACUAAACUCCAUUGGUGAGAAAAUGACAUAGUAAGUACAAAUAAAAGUUAAAAUAUUCAAAUCCACUUAAUUCUUAAUUCAAUUAUAAGUUACAAAAAAAGUGACGCUUUGAUAAAAGAAGGGCAUGAUCCUGCAAAUAUAUAUUUUGUUUUAUGCGAAGGUGCGAUUGUUAACUAUACCAAAUUUUAUUUGAGAAAAGAAAAUUGCAGUACAGUUGUACAUAGUGAAAAGCUACUUGAUAAAAAAGAAAAUGAUUAUAUUUUGUUGGAGUGUCAGUUCUUACCAAGGAUUAGUCAUUUGGUAAUAUUCUUGAAUCUUUGUGUUGAUACUUCUGCUACAAUAACUUGUACACAAAGCCCAGAUACCGAUUAGGUUUUCUAUUAUCUGCAGUUAAUUUCUAGCUAGGUCCAUUUACCUUUCCCCGCUGUAUUGUACAGUUUGUACCGUUUGCCAUUUAUCAGUUUGUUUUUUAGCCUGGAAUUUGAGUUAAAGUACCGUGUGACAACUUCUGGGGCCUGGGCCCACCACCAAAUAAAAGGGACUCUGUCACAGCUGCUAAGUUACAAAACCAGGCACCAAUUGAUGAAAGAAAUAUAAUAAAAGGUCGUACCCAGUGCACAAGGCUCCCGUUUUAAGCAGGGUCUGGGAGAGGUGAAUGUCGGCUAGCCUUACCCCCAUUUAUGGAGAGGCUGCUCCCAAGUCUCGAACCCGAGACCUACCGCUCAUGGGCGAAGGCACUUGCCAUCGCACCAAGUGCGACCUCUAUGAAAGAAAUAUAAUGAAGGAGCAAAAAUUUCUCUCCUCCGUUGAGUCCCUCCUGUGUGUGGGUUUCGUCUGCAAUCCUAAGGUUACUGAGCCCUGAUCUCUUCUUAAUCAACUUAUCCACCAGGUCCAUACUUUUUCCAAUCUCAUUCAUACACAAGAUUCAUGAACCCAGAUCUUCUCUUAAUCAGCCUACCCACCAGAUCCAUAUCUUUUUCUAUCUCAUUAAUGUUGCGAGUUAUAUAUUAGUUAGAGUGUAAAUAGUAGUUUAUUGUCCCACAUUGGUGAAGUACAUAUGUAAUAUCAAUUGUAACUCCUAUAUAUACUCCAUUUUGGAGAUUAAUGAAUAUAUAAGAAAUUCCCAAAUAUUUGUCAUAUAUAUUUUUGGUAUUUACCAUGUUUAGUUUAAUAUUGGUAUUCACCAUGUUUAAUUCAAUAUGGCAUCAGAGCAGUUCGUUCUUGGUGGCCUGUGUGCUUUAAUUUCGUGCCCACAUUUUUUGUGAUUUCCUUCAAAAAAAAAAAAAAAAAGAAUAGUGGCGCGCUACAGUACAGUGCGUGAACAGUGGUCCUCUACAGUGCCGUGAAUAGUCUGCUGCUACAGUGCUGUGAACAGCUCUGCUACAGUGUCUGGUAAAUUGUUUUCAUUCCGCUGCGUAUCUUUUGUGCCUUUAUUGUUCGUGAUUUUUGUUCAAUGGCUUAAUAUAAUCAUAGUGUUGUUAUGCAUCUUGGUGGAACAAAUAAAUGGAUAAUAGAUACUGGGACCACUGAUCAUGUGACUAGUGACCCUAGAGUGUUUGAUGAGUUAUGUGACUAUGUUCGUGAUCCGUAUGUUACUAGUGCAAAUGGAGCACCUUCUCCUGUGAAGGGUGAAGACAGUAUCUCUCUGACUCCAACCUUAUCAUUGGUCCGUGCUUUACUUAUUCCUGAUCUUAAGUGCAAUCUUUUGUCGGUAGGAAAACUUCUUGAUACCUUAUAUUGUUCUGCUCACUUCUACCCUAUGUAUUGUUAUUUUCAAGAUAUUCAAACUCAGAAGAUAAUUAGUCAUGGUAAAAGAAUAGGGGGUUUGUACAUCUUGAAUAUGGAGGAUACUGUUGUUUCUGGUUCAAAUAAUCAUCAAGUUUUAAGUGCUAAAGUGGAUGAUAGACAUCAAAUUUGGUUGUGGCAUCGACGAUUGGGACAUCCAUCAUUCAGUUAUAUGAAACAUCUAUUUCCUUCUUUAUUUCGCACUUGUAGUGAUUCAGAGUUCAAGUGUGAAACAUGUGUCAUGGCUAAGAGUCAUCAUGCUUCAUUUCCUGUAAGUGAUUCUAAAGCUACUUUGUCAUUUGAUUUGAUACAUUCUGAUGUGUGGGGUCCAGCGAAAGUUACUUCUAAUGGAUUCCGUUAGUUUGUUACUUUUAUUGAUGAUUGUACUCGGUUAAGUUGGGUGUUCUUGAUGAAUAAUAAGAGUGAUGUUCCGUUACUUCUUCAAGAUUUUUGUACAAUGGUGUCUACUCAGUUUCAGACCAAAGUUAAGGUCUUCAGGUCUGAUAACGGGGGAGAAUAUGUGAAUCACACUUUGGCAUGUUUUUUUCGUGAUCAUGGUAUUAUUCACCAGACGACUACUCCAUUUACACCCUAAUAAAAUGGUGUGUCCGAACGGAAGAAUCGUCAAAUAAUGGAAGUUGCUCACUCCUUGAUGUUGGAUAAAUGUGUUCCUAAUCAUUUGUGGGGUCAUGCUGUUUUGGCUGCUGUGUAUUUGAUCAAUCGUGUUCCAAGUAGGGUUCUUGAUUUUCAGACACCGUUCGAUGUGCUACAACAUGUUUCUCUUGUUUCUGUAUCAAAGCUUCCUUCGAAAGUGUUUAGGUGUAUUGCGUAUGUGCAUGUCUACUCUCAUCAGCGGAGUAAACUUGAGUGCAUGUGCUCUCCGGUGUGUCUUUAUUGGGUAUGCUAACAAUCAGAAAUGCUAUAAGUGUUAUCAUCAUCCGACUAAAAAAACUUAUAUUACCAUGGAUGUCACCUUCCAUGAGGAAGUUUCGUAUUUUGUGAAGCCCUCUUCCUAUUCUCCGCUUCAGGGGGAAAGGGGAAGUGAAGUGCAGAUUCGAAGAGAUGGUAUGGAUGAUGUGUUACAGGCAGAGUCGGGAACAGAACCUAUUAUGUUGUGUGAUACUGAUCAGUCGACUACAGAUAGUGAUCGGUCACCUAUUAUUUUCGAAACUAUUUCUACUGACGAUAAAUUAGAUGUUCCCAGCGAGUUGCCUGUUAGUAUGUCUGACGAAUUGCCUUCUAAUGAUCGGUUGCCUGCUACUGAUAUGUCUAAUGAGUUGCCUGAUGAUGGUUCGUCCAGUGAUGAUUUUUCUAACAGUUUGGUACAAGAUGGUGGCAUACAUGAGGUAAAUUCUGACAAUCUUCUACUUAUCAGUUGCCUCCACAAGCUAAUCGUGGAAAACCUAAAGUACAAUAUGAGUCUGAUAUGCAUGCCAAAGCCAAAUAUCCUAUCAACAAUUAUGUGUCUACUUAUCGUUUAUCCAAACCAUAUGCAUCUUACAUAUGUCAGCUAUCUAGUGUAUCAAUUCCAACAAAAUUGCAAGAUGCCUUGUCUGACCCUAAGUGGGUUAAUGCCAUGCAAGUUAAGAUGGAAGCUUUGGAAAAGAAUUCUACCUGGGAUUUGGUUCCUUUACCAAACAGAAAAAAAGUCGUUGGAUGUAGAUGGAUGUUUACUAUUAAGCAUAAAGCAGAUGGUUCUGUUGACCGGUAUAAAGCUAGAUUGGUUGCUAAGGGUUAUACUCAAACCUAUGGGGUGGACUAUCAGGAGACAUUUGCUCCUGUUGCCAAACUUAAUACUGUGCGUGUUCUUCUGUCCUUAGCAGCAAACCAGGAUUGGCCUUUGUUGCAGUUUGAUGUUAAGAAUGCUUUCCUUCAUGGUGAUCUUAAGGAGGAAGUGUAUAUGGAUCUCCCACCUGGUAUUGGAACAUCUCCUGGAAAAAGUGUUGUAUGCAGGUUACGAAAGGCUUUGUAUGGUUUGAAACAAUCUCCUAGAGCGUGGUUUGGGAGGUUUACAAGUUCAAUGAAGAAGUUUGGGUAUAUCCAAAGUCAUUCAGAUCAUACUUUGUUUCUAAAGCGACAAAAUGGUAAGCUAACUACAUUGAUUAUUUAUGUUGAUGACGUGAUAGUGACUGGUGAUGAUCAGAAUGAGAUACAACGUCUUCAAAAGUACCUAGCUACUGAGUUUGAGAUGAAAGAAUUGGGUGAAUUGAAGUAUUUUCUUGGAAUCGAGGUUGCACGAUCCAAGAAUGGUAUUUUUCUGUCUCAACGGAAAUAUGUUCUUGAUUUGUUAGCUGAAAUAGGUAUGUUAGAUUGCAAACCUGUUGAUACUCCGAUUAAGCAGAAUCAUUGUCUGAGCUUAUUUCCAGAUCAAGUUCCUACUCAUAAGGAACGGUAUCAGAGGCUUGUGGGGAGAUUAAUUUAUUUGUCUCACACUCGCCCUGACAUUGCUUAUGCAGUUAGUGUGGUAAGUCAGUUUAUGCACUCACCUAGUGAAGCUCAUAUGGAUGUAGUAACCCGUAUUUUGAGGUACUUGAAGAUGGCUCAUGGCAGAGGCCUGUUUUUCUCCAAGAAUGGUCAUUUGAAUGUCGAAGGGUAUACAGAUGCAGAUUGGGUAGGUUCUAUCACUGAUCGGCGAUCUACAUCUGGAUACUUUACGUUUAUGGGUGGUAAUUUAGUUACUUGGAGAAGCAAGAAACAAAAAGUGGUGGCUAGGUCACGUACAGAAGCAGAGUUUCGUGGUAUGUCGCAUGGUGUAUGUGAGUUGUUGUGGUUGAAAAAAUUGUUGAGAGAUCUUGGGUUUAACCCCAAAGGUGCUAUGAAACUUCAUUGUGAUAACAAGGCUGCUAUUGAGAUUGCUCAUAAUCCAGUGCAACAUGAUCGAACAAAACAUGUGGAGAUUGAUCGACAUUUCAUUAAGGAAAAAUUGGAUGCUGAAAUUUUUAUGUUUCUGUUUGUGAGAUCUGAAGAUCAACUUGCUGAUGCUCUUACUAAGGCUGUGUCUAAUAGUGUGUUUUCCAACUCGCUUGACAAGUUGGGCAUGCGUGACAUCUUUGCACCAACUUGAGGGGGAGUGUUGUGAGUUAUAUAUUAGUUAGAGUGUAAAUAGUAGUUUAUUGUUCCACAUUGGUGAAGUACAUAUGUAAUACCAAUUGUAACUCCUAUAUAUACUCCACUUUGGAGAUUAAUGAAUACAUAAGAAAUUCCCAAAUAUUGUCAUAUAUAUUUUUGGUAUUUACCAUGUUUAGUUCAAUAAUUAAUACACAAACCUACCCUCCAAUUUGGCUUUCUCUCUCCGCAUUCAAACCCACAUCUCUGAAAUUAACUUCAGAUUUUCCUGCUCAACCCCAACCUCCAACUAUGUACUUCCUUCUGAUCCGUCUUUACUUCUUCCUUCCUUAAUCCCGUAUUGGGUCAGAUCUAGAGCUGUGGGUCUAUUUUGCAGGGAUGACAGGACUACGAUAAAUCAGAUGUCCACCCACCAGAUCUAGAACUUUACUAUCUUAGAUCUGAUUUCUCGUAGUCCUGUCAUCCUCAACAAAUGGGACACUCGUAACAUCCUUAGAGCUUAUUGGAAAGAGAUGGGUGAGGUUGACAUCAAGUGGGUCAAAGAUAAUACUUUCAUUAUCACUAAAUGAUGAGAGUACAACUACCAUGAUCAUUGACCAGGUCUCAUGGGCGGUUAUGAAGCAAAAUUUCUCUAUCAAGAGAUGGCCAUAUAAGUUAGCCUUGGAGGAAAUUAAUAUGAAUGUAAUAUCAUUUUGGGUGCAAAUCAGGGGUCUCCCGCCUUAUCUAAGCUCAGAGAAGAAUCUCAAGGUUUGGUGUCAAAGAUUGGGAAAGUUGAAACUGUGGAAGACCCAUCGAAGGCAAGGGGCUUUUUGAGAGUCAAAGUAGAGGUGGAUACUUUGACAGCUUUAACCAUAGGGUGUUGGCUCCCGAGGGACAACAAAAAUGAAUCAUGGAUUGAGUUCAGGUACGAAAGGCUACAGGACUUUUGUUAUCGAUGUGAGAGAAUUGGACAUUCAAAUACUGAGUGUACGUUUGAGUCAAUGAAAUGUGGUAUGGCAGGAUUGAAGGAAAUUUUGUGAAAAACAUGUUCAUUUGAGCAACAUCUAUAUAGCAUGCAAUUAACAAUUAAAGGCGGAAUCAUGCUUGUAUGCACUCAAAACAAAACAUUACCCAUGAAAUUCAAAGCCUAGUAGUUAGGUGAAUCAAGACUCAACUCAAAACAAAGUGAGUUGAGAAAUUUAUACCUUUGUUGAUUCCUCUUUGCAUAAGCAAAGGAUAAUCACCCAAGAGAUUGGGCCUUCAUUCCUUGCUUCUUAGCUCCAUGGAUUUGGAUGGAAGAAUUGGUUUCUCCAAGUUCUCAAAGUUGAGAACCUCUAAGUCUCCACACCAAGGAAGGAUUGAUGAAGAAAUGAGUGACCUAGAGGAAGUAAGAUUGCUAGCUAUGUUCCUCUAGGGUGGCCAGCCUCUUAGAGAGCAAAGAGAGCUUUUGUUCUCAUCUUUUCUCCCAAAAAAAAACCCUAACGAAGAAAAGGCUAUAAAGUCAUAUUUAUACCUACCUUCAUUGGAGUGGCAAACUUGUAAUAAGUCCAAAACCCACUCAAUUAUCAAUAUGGCCGGCCAUAGGGUAUUAUUGGGCUGUUUGGGCCUUUGUGAAUAUUUAGUCAUUAAGUUGUCAUACAACUUAAGUCAAUGGGCUUGACAUUCGAAGCCCAUUGGGCCUUAAGGCCCAAAACUAACCCGAGGUCUUUAAUGAACUUUAUUCGUUUGAUUAAUUAAUCAUAUUAAUUAAUCUUUGCCAUAAAUAAUUAAACCAUUUAAUUAUCCUUACUCAUCUCCGUUGUUUCUUCAAUCUCUACCUUACACGGUGUACGAUCCAUUAGGUUCCUUUUAGCGAGGCAGUGGACGAUUAUAACUCUUUCAAAUCGAUUGUGAAUUGAAACUUACUUUCAAUUCUCCCUUUAGUGAUUAUACACAUUUAGGGCUUCCACAAACCAUGAGUGACACCUAGCAGUAUGUCAUGGUUACCCAAGCUAAUCGGAAGAGGUGGAGAACCUAUUCAGUUUAGGAUUACAAUGCAAUACGGUCUUUCUCUAAUACAAUACUCUUGACCACAUUGUUUGGUUUGAUAGUUUAUUCAUGUCUACUAUCCAAUGUGAUUCAUUUACUUAUAAGAUUACCUUGAAUGUGAUUGGAACGACUUCCUAAAUCUCAUUCAUACUCUGGCCAGAGAUUCGUAAUCAUAUCAUAGAGUAUUCUCCCUCAAAAGGUUUAAAGGUUAGAGAUCCCUUGUUGCGCAUUCACUUGCCUCCAUGGUUAAGUAGCUUAACCCCAACUAUGCUGUGGACACACUCUGAUGGGGUGACUUUGACAUAGUCAAAGAUUAAGGACCUAACCACAAGACAACUAUGAUGCCUCAGGUCAAAGGACUACUUUGCCUUAUCCCAACUAUGAGUUCUCAUGUGACAUGAGUAUGAGAACUCAUCGUUGAUCGUGUUCAGUGGACUGAUUCUCUAUUGAGCACCUACAUGUUUGUCUUGGUGUCAAUCACACCAAUGACUCGAGACCAGUCACUCUCCAUGAGAGAAGACACAGCACGUACUGAUCUUAACGAAUUGUCAAUGCCCAAUUGGCAAUCCUAUGAUCAGGAACGUUUAGGAUAUGUAUACGAAAGAGAAUGGUCUCAUAAAUCUAACUUGUUUAAAUUACAUUCUCCUAAUUACAUAUUCAUUGGAUUUAUCGUUUAAGCAUAUAACAUUUAUAUGAGACGGCUUAAAACAAUAAUCUUUGCCCUUGAUAUUAAACUAGAUUAGUUUAACAUGUGAAAUGUCCGUAAAGUAUCAUCACAUGAUUGGUUUUGGGGCACAUUUCCAAUAAUCUCCCACUUGUACUAGAGCCAAUCAGCUUGGUCAUCAGUGAUGAUACCUCCUCUUUAGUCAUUUCAAAAAUGGCUAAGUAGUAGGCCUAGACAAUGGAUAUCUAUAUGUUAUCCAUAGAAGCAACCUUGAGAAUAACGACCUCACCAUUAUACAUGAUUCUCAAUCAUGUGGCUUAGUCUCUCAUUUGAGUUCGGAUCUUGAUGAGACCUUGAUUCCCUGGCUUGAGCUAUCGCCCCAUUAGUGUCGUAGUGUCGGUACACUAGAGACACUUUCUGGUUGGAACCGAAUAGAGAGUUCAUAAAUAAACUUUCCCAUCCAAACAACAUUGUUGUAAGCUUCUAUAAGGCAAUAUAUUUUGCAUUCAUAAUGGAACACAUUAAAGUCAUUACUUUUAAUGUUUCCAUCCAAAUAUCUCUUUAGUCAUAAUAAAGAGAUAUCUGAUUAUCUCUUCAUUCAUAAUGAAGAAACAUCCAAUGAUGGAUUAUAUUCGUAAUCUAAUACAUUUACGCUUCCAUUACGUUACUCUAAUUAUUCCUCAUUCUUUGAGGAAUCUAUCAUUUAGUAUUUCUUAAAUACUUAAGGACUCACUUGACAAUUGCCAUGGUUUUGAUCCUGGGCUUGCACUGAUAUCGUCUUGUACCGUUCUAGGUACAACUCAUAUCAAUGUUUUCAUACAAUAUGAAAUACGUAAAUCACUUUUCUGUGUAUGCAUAAAGGAUUCUAUUUACGCAUUAUUUCUUUGGGAGUCAAAGGGUAUGUUCCCUUUGAGAAGAGCUACCUCCUAGUCUUACUAGAGUUGUUCUUCUGAUUGAAGUUUAGCAUCAUAUGAGAAACUUCCUAGCAUCUUUUGUCUAUCAUUAGGGCUUGAUAUAAUCCAAUUAUAUCCUGAAAUCUAUCAUUAUAGAUUUACAUCCCAUGUUUAUAGACUAUGUCUCUCAUAUAUAUUCUAUCGUUAUAGAAUGUUUAAAGUCAUAACUUUAACGAAGAAAUAUUCUUUUUCAUUUCCAAAAUUAAUAUAUCAUAUAUUUGUAUAUAUAUAUUCAAUUUUAGGAACAUGAUUAACUCCCACUAAUCUUUUGUAAACCUAGUAAACAAAGGAUUCAUUUACAUCUUUAUGAGAAAUCAAACGAUUUGAUCUUUCUCUCAUAAGACGUUUAUAGCUCCCACUAGCUUGCUAAGAUCCAUGAUGGAUGGAUCUCUACAACUUGCAUGUCUUGUGAUUCAUAGUUUUAGACAUAUAUUAUCAAGACUAUCUUAAUAAUGGUUUCAGAAACCCAUAUUAUGUUCAAACAUUGAAUCACCAUUUAGUUGUAGCUAGCAAUCUUCGAAUUAAUUGAAACCAAGACUACGUCAAAGAUGGUUCUUCCAAGUCAACCAAUCUCUUUGAUUGUAGUCACCUUAAGCUACCAAUUAGCUAUAAAGGUUUCAUUAUUUCGGGUCAAAUGGUACUUUACCAUUUCCUUGAGUAUAUGUCGUAUAUACACUCAAUGUAGUCAUAAGGAUUUUUCAUUCUUAUUUCUUUCAAAUUAAGAGGUGUAACUCUAUGACAUAGUCAUAAAGUUCAAACCAUUCAACUGAGACGGUUUAUAAAUCCUUCUUGACUACCUUGGAGCUUGUGGUAUAGGAACUAGGUUGUUAUAUUUGUUGAUCACUAUCUUGUUUCUCAAAGAACCCAUUCUUUGAGUUCUAUCCCUCGUUCAUUUGCUCUAGGCAAAUCAUAUUGUAGGAUUACAAUGAACUACCCAACAAACAACAUUUGUUAGUUGGUUUAUAGAAGUGAUAUCCAAAUGUUAAUUUAAGGAUACCCACAAGAUAAUUCUUUAAACAAAUAUUGCUUAUUAGUACACAACCCCAAAUCUUAACAUGAUUAAGAUUUGUCUUUCUUUCCAACUAUAUCCUAUGGAGUCAUGAAAAUUUUGGAAGAUCUUCUAAUUGACAAUCAUAUUGUCUUAGAAGUAUAUAUCCUAUAUAUGGGCAAUUGAUAACAUCCAACGAGCUAAAUCUUAUUUCGAGUUCGUUCUUCUCUUAAUGGAGAAAUCCAUUAUCAUAUGAUGCUUCUUUCCUUGAUAUCUUUCAAGGAAACUGUUCUAAAGUGUUACCUUUCUUUGGAUCAAAUCUAAGGAGGUAAAUACUUUAGACAUCUUACUCAUCAACUUACAUUUCUUGAAUUCUUUGAAACCUUUUGCAAAGUAUUUGGACUUGUGUUUAUUAAAAAAUAAAUGAUAGUCCAACCGAGAGCGAUCUUCGGUGAAUGUCAUACAACAUGAGUAGUAUUAUGUUGUGACAAGUGCCACUAACAUCUAAAAAAAUAGCAGUGGUAAUUGGGUUGAGAACCCAAGGCAGGUUCGACGCAUGUUUGAUGAGUACUUCAUGGAAUUGUUCACAUCGUCAGGACAUUAGGAAUGGGGUGAGAUUUUAGACUGCGUUAUCCCAAGGGUUUCUGACAAGAUAAACACUACUAUUUCAGAAUUGGUUUCAAGUGAAAAAGGUAAAAAAUGCCGUUAUGCAGAUGGGGAGUUUGAAGGCCCCAGACGCUGACAGCUUUCCUGGCAUUUUCUACCAGGCUCACGGGGAUAUUAUUGUAGCGAAUGUGAAUGAAAUAAUUAAGGAAUUGAUGUAUGGAACUGAAAACCCUCAGCACAUCAAUGCUACUCACUUGGUGUUGAUUCCAAAGGUUCAAAAUCCAGUGUCUGUGUCAUAAUUUCGCCCCAUUAGUUUAUGCAAUUAUUCCUAUAAGGUGCUUUCCAAGGUGUUGGCCAACUGCCUCAAGCAGAUUUUGCCGAACUUGAUCUUUCAUACCCAAAAUGCUUUCGUGGCAAGUAGGCAAAUUCAGGAUAAUAUUGGUAUUGCGCAUAAGCUUUUCCACAUCCUAAAAACGAGAAAAGAAAAAUGUAAAUUUGAGUUGGGAAUCAAGUUGGAUAUGCACUAGGCCUACGAUAGAGUGGAAUGGGAUUUCUUGAUGGCGGUUAUGGAGAAAUUGGGCUUCAAUGACAAAUGGAGAAAGUUGAUAAUGGCCUGUAUUUCUUCGAUGAACUUUGCCAUCUUGCUUAAUGGUCACCCGGGUUCAAAGUUCGGGCCAUCUCGUGGUCUUAGGCAAGGUGACCCAUUAUCCCCUUACUGUUGAAGGAUAUAUUUGUGAAAACAAGUUCAUUUGAGCAAAAUCUACAACAUGCAAUUAAUAAUUAAGGGCAGAAUCAUGCUUGUAUGUACUCAAAAACAAAACUUUACCCAUGAAAUUCAAGGCCUAAUGAGUGUGGUGAACCAAGACUCAACUCAAGAACAAAGUGAGUUGAGAAAUAUUAUACCUUUGUUGAUUCCUCUUUGCAUAAGCAAAGGCUAAUCACCCAAGCGAUAGAGCCUUGAUUCCUUACUUCUUAGCUCCGUGGAUUUCUUGGAUGAGGAUGGUAGAAUGGAUUCUCCAAGUUCCCAAAAUAGAGAACCUCUAAAUCUCCACACCAAGGAGAGACUAGAAGAAGAGAUGAGUAACCUUGGAAGAGGGAAGAUUGCUAGCUAAUCUCCUCCAAGGGGCCGUCCUUCUAGAGAGAAAGGGAGAGACUUGUUCUAUCCAAUUUCCUCCAAGGGGCUAGCCUUCUUCAUUUGACUUCUCCUUCUUCAUACAAUGAUUUGUAAGUAAAGAAUUAUGACACUAAAAGUGUUGUCCUCUUUAGGAUAGACUUAUCUAACAUGUUCUUCUAAUGAUACAUUAUUAAUAAGAAGAUUGUGAGAAUGAGACUACUUAGGUGCAUAUACAAUCCAUUCAAGACAAUUUAUGGGAUUGUGGUACUAAGUCCGGAAACUAAAGCCUUCGGCAUUUCUUUGUCAAGUUUUGGAUAGUGUUUGCAAAUAUAUCGGUAAAUAAAUACAUAACGAAUAUAAAUUGAUUGAUUUUAAGCUAUUUGAUCUCGGUCUUUAAAUCAAAUAGCACCACCCACUAUUUUUGGCAAUUUCCAUAUCCCUCAUCGGAAUUCGAGAGUUUUGGAGGAAACUUUUAGUAGGGUAUGGGAGGCUCACUAUUACCGAGCCCACCUCACAAUGAUAUGAUGUUGGCUAGCAUCAAUAAUAAUGAGAGAGUAUGCUUACUCAUUUGCCUCUCUUGCAAGUACCCAUCUUAUUUGGCCUCUAGAGAAUGAUGCCUCACAAUGAUAUGAUGUUGGCUCCAUUGCACUUAGUUAAGUCAUUCCCACCAUGCAAGUUUAGGUAGGGGUUCAAGAACAACCUCACAAUGAUAUGAUGUUGAUCAUUCUUGUUGCCUACCUUCACAACAUCAUGUAUGCGUAUAGGACUCAUCCUGAGUGUAAGUACGCACUUUGUACUCCCCCUGAUAGGGUGAAGUCGGUGUAGGAGUCACAAACGAUCGGAGCCUACCAUGGUGGAAGGCCACGAAAAAGUGUUCAAAGCACUCUCACGCUUGUCAACUUAAUAAUGGUUUGGUUGAGGGUUUUAGAUCUCAUCACAUAUGAGCAUACAUUUUAAUCUUAUUAAACAAUUCGGUCCUAUUACAACUAUUGGUCCAUGUGAUUGAUUUAGUUGUAUAUGAUACUCCCACUAUGCUUGUAAAAUGGUUUUUAAAGCAACAGUAUAUGGUACUACUACUAACAUAAGCUUUGCAUUCAUUGAUGGACUAUAUAGUUGCCUUAGGGCCUUAGGAUGACUAUGAACCUUUGAUUUGAUCCAACACGAGCUUAGGGUCGGAUCUCGGUCUAGGAAUGGUGAUUGAUUUUAGUUACGCGUUUAAUCACAUUAAGGCGUGUUUUCUUAUUGGGCGUUGGACCCUACUACUCCAAUUUCAUGCAUAUCAAAUAAAACAAGAAAAUGAGUACUUCAAAAUAAAGAAGAGCUUAUGCUCUUUUACAACAUUUGAACAAAUCAAAUUUCUUUAAAGUAAAGAAGAGCUUAUGGUCUUUUACAACAUUUGAUCAUAUCAAAUUACAACCAAAAUCUAAUCUACACAUUCCCAUGGUUCAAACAAUUUGAGAGACGGCCUUUCACAUAGCUCAAUUAUCAUAGGCUUAGGUUCAUAAUCACCCUUUCUUUAAUUAAUUAAUGCUUUAACUAAUUAAACUUGAAUGCAACAUUGUCAUUUGGUUUUUGUAUCCAUAUAAUUGAUUUAGAUGGAGCUAAAUGAAAUGAAAAUCCAAUUCUCAUUUAAAGAUACAAAACUAUUUUGUUCUCAACUAAUUUGGGCCAAAAUGCAAUAACUGUUGGAAAUGUGCCCUAAAGCCAAUCAUAUGAUGAUACUUUACGGACAUUUCACAUGUUAAACUAAUCUAGUUUACAUAUAAAGGGCAUAGAUUAUUGUUUGAGCUGUCUCAUAUAAAUGUUAUAUGCUUAAACGAUAAAGUCCAAGGAAUAUGUGAUUGGGAGAAUGUAAUCUAAUGAAGUUAGAUUCAUGAGACCAUUCUUUCAUAGACACAUCAUAAAUGUUCCUGAUCAUAGGAUUGCCAAUUGGGCAUUGACAGUCCGUCAAGAUCGGUACGUGCUAUGUCUUCUCUCAGGGAGAGUGACUAGUCUCGAGUCAUUGGUGUGUGUGACAUCAAGACAAGUACGUAGGUGCUCAGUAGAGAAUGAGUUCACUGAACGCGAUCAACGAAGAGUUCUCAUACUCAUGUCACAUGAGAACUCAUGUUUGGGAUAAUGCAAAUUAGUCCUUUGACCUGAGGCAUCACAGUUGUCUUGUGGUUAAGUCCUUGAUCUUUGAUUAUGUCAAAGUCACCCCAUCGGGGUGUCCACGGCAUCGUUGGGGUUAAGCCACUUAGUCAUGGAGGCAAGUGAAUGCGCAACAAGGGAUCUCUAACCUUCAAACCGUUUGAGGGAGAAUACUCUAUGAUAUGAUUUAGAAUCUCUAGCCAGAGUAUGAAUGAGAUUUAGAAAAGUCGUUCUAAAUCACAUUCAAGGAAAUCAUAUAAGCACACGAAUCACAUUGGAUAGUAGACAUGAAUAAAUAAACUAUCAAACCAAACAAUGUGGUCAGGAGUAUUAGAUUAGAGAAAGACCGUAUUGCAUUUGUAAUCCCAAACUGAAUAGGUUUUCUCUACCUCUUCUGAUUAGCUUGGGUAACCAUGAUAUGCUGCAAGGUGUCACUCAUGGUUUGUGGAAGCCCUAAACGUAUGUAAUCACUAAAGGGAGAAUUGAAAGUAAGUUUCAAUUCACAGUCGAUGUAAAAUGGUUUUAAUCGCCCACUGCCUCGCUAAAAGGAACCUAAUGGAUCGCACACCGUGUAAGGAGGAGAUUGAAGAAACAAUGGAGAUGAGUAAGAAUGAUUAAAUGGUUUAAUCAUUUAUUUAUGGAAAAGAUUAAUUAAUAUGUUAAUUAAUCAAACGAAUAAGUUCGUUAAAGACCUCGGGAUAGUUUUGGACCUUAAGGCCCAAUGGGCUUCGAACGUCAAGCCCAUUAACAUAAGUUGUAUGACAACUUAAUGAAUAAUGAUUCACAAAGGCCCAAUUAGUCCAAAAUAUCCUAAUGGCCGGCCAUAUUGGUUAGGGUAGUGAACUUGGACUUAUUUACAAGUUUGCCACUCAAAUGAAUAAAGGUAUAAAUAUGACUUUAUAGCCAAAAUUCAUUAAGGGUUUGUUUUGGAGAAAAUUGGUGAGAACUUGUCUCUUCAUUUCUCUCUAAAGAGGCCGGCCACCUUGGGGGGUGCAUCUUGCAAUCCCACUACUCCAAGGUCACUCAUUUCUUCUCCAAUCUCUCCUUGGUGAAGAGACUUAGAGGUUCUCAAUUUUGGGAACUUGGAGAAACCUAUUCAUCCAUCCAAAUCCAUAGAUUUUAGAUGCAAGGAAUGAAGGCCCUCUCUUUGGGUGAUUAGCCUUUGCUUAUGCAAAGAGGAAUCUACAAAGGUAUAAAUUUCAACUCACUUUGUUUUGAGUUGAGUUUUGGUUCACCAAUCUACUAGGCUUUGAAUUUCAUGGUUAAUGUUUUGUUUUUAAGUGCAUGCAAGCAUGAUUCCGCCUUUAAUUGUUAAUUGCAUGAUAAGGUAACACUUUAGAACAGUUUCCUUGAAAGAUAUCAAGGAAAUAAGCAUCAUAAGAUAAUGUAAUUUCUCCAUUAGGAGAAGAGAGAAGAACGAACUCGAAUAAGAUUUAGUUCGUUAGAUGUUAUCUAUUACCCAUAUAUAGGAUAUAUACUUCUAAAACAAUAUGAUUGCCAAUGAGAAGAUCUUCCAAUAUUUUCAUGACUCCAUAAGAUGUAGUUGGAAAGAAAGACAAAUCUUAAAACAUGUUAAGAUUUGGGGUUGUGUGCUAAUAAACAAUAUUUGUUUGAUAACAAUCUUGUGGGAUAUCCUUAAAUUAACUUUUGGAUAUCGCUUCUAUAAACCAACUAACAAAUGUUGUUUUGUUGAGUAGUUCAUUGUAAUCCUACAAUGUGAUUUGCCUAAAAGCAAAUGAACUAGAGAUAGAACUCAAAGAAUGGGUUCUUUGAGAGACAAGAAAGUAAUCAACAAAUAUAACAACCUAGUUCCUAUACCUCAAGCUCCAAGGUAGUCGAUAAGGAUUUAUAAACCGUCUCAGUUGAAUGGUUUUGAACUUUAUGACUAUGUCAUAGAGUUGCACCUCUUAAUUCGAAAGAACUAAGAAUGAAAAUCCUUAUGACUACAUUCAGUGUAUAUAUAUGAUAUAUACUCAAGAAAAUGGUAAAGUACCAUUUGACUCGAAAUAAUGAAACCUUAAUAGCUAACUGGUAGCUUAAGGUGACUACAAUCAAAGAGAAUGGUUGACUUUGAAGGAACCAUUUUUGACGUAGUCUUAGUUUCAAUUAAUUCGAAGAAUGCUAGCUACAACUAAAUGGUGAUUCAAUGUUUGGACAUAAUAUAGGUUUCCGAAACCAUUAUUAAGAUAGUCUUGAUAAUAUAUGUCUAAAACUAUGAAUCACAAGACAUAUAAGUUGUAAAGAUCCAUCCAUCAUGAAUCUUAGCAAGCUAGUGGGAGCUAUAAGCGUCUUAUGAGAGAAAGGUCAAAUCGUUUGAUUUCUCAUAAAGAUGUAAAUGAAUCUUUUGUUUACUAGGUUUACAAAAGAUUAGUGGGAGUUAACCAUAUUCCUAAAUUUGUAUAUAUAUAUAUAUAUAUAUAUAAAAUAUAUAUGUGAUAUAUAUGAAUAUAUAUGUGAUAUAUUAAUUUUGGAAAUGAAAAGAAUACUUCUUCGUUAAAGUUAUGACUUUAAACGUUCUAUAAAGAUAGAAUGUAUAUGGGAGACAUAGUCUAUAUACAUGGGAUGGAAAUCUAUAAUGAUAUAUUUCAUGAUAUAAUUGGAUUAUAUCAAUCCCUGAUAAUAGACAAUGGAUGCAAGGAAGUUUCUCAUAUGAUGGUAAACUUCAAUUAGAAGGACAACUCUAGUGAGACUAAGAAGUUGCUCUUCUCAAAGAGAACGUACUCUUUGACUCCCAAAGAAAUAAUGCGUAAAUAGAAUCCUUUAUGCAUACGCAUAAAGGGGAUUUAUGUAUUUCAUAUUGUAUGAAAAACAUUGAUAUGAGUUGUACCUAGAACGGUACAAGACGAUAUCAGUGCAAGCCCAGGAUCAGAACCAUGGCAACUGUCAAGUGAGUUCUUAAGUAUUUAAGAAAUACUAAAGGAUAAAUUCCUCAAAGAUUGAGGAAGAAUUAGAGUAACGUAAUGGAAGCGUAAAUGUAUUAGAUUAUGAAUCUAAUCCAUCAUUGGAUGUUUCUUCAUUAUGAAUGAAGAGAUAGACAGGUAUCUCUUUAUUAUGACUAAAGAGAUAUUUGGAUGGAAACAUUAAAGUAAUGACUUUAGUGUGUUCCAUUAUGAAUGCAAAAUAUAUUGCCAUAAAGAAGCUUACAACAAUGUUGUUUGGAUGGGAAAGUUCAUUUAUGAACUCUCUAUUCGGUUCCAACCAGAAAGUGUAUGACACUAAUGGGGCGAUAGCUCAAGCCAGGGAAUCAAGGUCUCAUCAAGAUCCGAACUCAUAUGAGAGACUGAACCACAUGAUUGAGAAUCAUGUAUAAUGGUGACGUCGUUAUUCUCAAGGUUGCUUCUAUGGUUAACAUAUAGAUAUCCAUUGCCUAGGCCUACUAUUCAGCCAUUUAUGAAAUGUCUACAGAAGAGGUAUCAUCACUGAUGACUAAGCUGAUUGGCUCUAGUGCAAGUGGGAGAUUGUUGGAAAUGUGCCCUAAAGCCAAUCAUAUGAUGAUACUUUACGGACAUUUCACAUGUUAAACUAAUCUAGUUUACAUAUAAAGGGCAUAGAUUAUUGUUUGAGCUGUCUCAUAUAAAUGUUAUAUGCUUAAACGAUAAAGUCCAAGGAAUAUGUGAUUGGGAGAAUGUAAUCUAAUGAAGUUAGAUUCAUGAGACCAUUCUUUCAUAGACACAUCCUAAAUGUUCCUGAUCAUAGGAUUGCCAAUUGGGCAUUGACAUUCCGUCAAGAUCGGUAUGUGCUAUGUCUUCUCUCAGGGAGAGUGACUAGUCUCGAGUCAUUGGUGUGUGUGACAUCAAGACAAGUACGUAGGUGCUCAGUAGAGAAUGAGUUCACUGAACGCGAUCAACGAAGAGUUCUCAUACUCAUGUCACAUGAGAACUCAUGUUUGGGAUAAUGCAAAUUAGUCCUUUGACCUGAGGCAUCACAGUUGUCUUGUGGUUAAGUCCUUGAUCUUUGAUUAUGUCAAAGUCACCCCAUCGGGGUGUCCACGGCAUCGUUGGGGUUAGGCCACUUAGUCAUGGAGGCAAGUGAAUGUGCAACAAGGGAUCUCUAACCUUCAAACCGUUUGAGGGAGAAUACUCUAUGAUAUGAUUUAGAAUCUCUGGCCAGAGUAUGAAUGAGAUUUAGAAAAGUCGUUCUAAAUCACAUUCAAGGAAAUCAUAUAAGCACACGAAUCACAUUGGAUAGUAGACAUGAAUAAAUAAACUAUCAAACCAAACAAUGUGGUCAGGAGUAUUAGAUUAGAGAAAGACCGUAUUGCAUUUGUAAUCCCAAACUGAAUAGGUUUUCUCUACCUCUUCUGAUUAGCUUGGGUAACCAUGAUAUGCUGCAAGGUGUCACUCAUGGUUUGUGGAAGCCCUAAACGUGUGUAAUCACUAAAGGGAGAAUUGAAAGUAAGUUUCAAUUCACAGUCGAUGUAAAAUGGUUUUAAUCGCCCACUGCCUCGCUAAAAGGAACCUAAUGGAUCGCACACCGUGUAAGGAGGAGAUUGAAGAAACAAUGGAGAUGAGUAAGAAUGAUUAAAUGGUUUAAUCAUUUAUUUAUGGCAAAGAUUAAUUAAUAUGUUAAUUAAUCAAACGAAUAAGUUCGUUAAAGACCUCGGGAUAGUUUUGGACCUUAAGGCCCAAUGGGCUUCGAACGUCAAGCCCAUUAACAUAAGUUAUAUGACAACUUAAUGAAUAAUGAUUCACAAAGGCCCAAUUAGUCCAAAAUAUCCUAAUGGCCGGCCAUAUUGGUUAGGGUAGUGAACUUGGACUUAUUUACAAGUUUGCCACUCAAAUGAAUAAAGGUAUAAAUAUGACUUUAUAGCCAAAAUUCAUUAAGGGUUUGUUUUGGAGAAAAUUGGUGAGAACUUGUCUCUCCAUUUCUCUCUAAAGAGGCCAGCCACCUUGGGGGGUGCAUCUUGCAAUCCCACUACUCCAAGGUCACUCAUUUCUUCUCCAAUCUCUCCUUGGUGAAGAGACAUAGAGGUUCUCAAUUUUGGGAACUUGGAGAAACCUAUUCAUCCAUCCAAAUCCAUAGAUUUUAGAUGCAAGGAAUGAAGGCCCUCUCUUUGGGUGAUUAGCCUUUGCUUAUGCAAAGAGGAAUCUACAAAGGUAUAAAUUUCAACUCACUUUGUUUUGAGUUGAGUUUUGGUUCACCAAUCUACUAGGCUUUGAAUUUCAUGGUUAAUGUUUUGUUUUUAAGUGCAUGCAAGCAUGAUUCCGCCUUUAAUUGUUAAUUGCAUGCUUUGAAUUUCAUGGUUCACCAAUUUACUCACAUUCGAGAAAACACUCCCCACAAGAUUGCUUGCUCCAAAAUCGAAGAGGCACCGCCCUUCGAAUCUCGAAAGCCAGACUCCCAACAUGAUAACUUUCUCAAAAAUCGAAGAGACACCGCUCUUCAAAUCUCGAGAGCCAGACCCCCAGCAGGAUUGCUUUCUCAAAAAUCGAAGAGGCAUCGUUCUCCGAAUCUCGAGAGCCAGAUCCCUGACAGGAUUGCUUAUUCGAAAAUCGAAAAGGCACCACUUUCCCAAUUUCGAGAGCCAGAUCUCCUUGGAUAAAGCUUGUCUGUAAUCUUCACACGCAACAUCAGCUUUUCAGAUACCACAUACCACUUUUUCAAAGUGCUCUGACAGAGUUAAAACAUGUGAAGCUGGCAGCUCCCACUAUCGUGCUAUGACCCAGCAGGGUAAAGGAAUAGCAUUACUACUUGUUGUUAGGGAGACUCCUAUAUAUGUCGACCUCCAUCCCCAACGGACAGGCAGACCUGCAAAAAUGCUCAACCAUUCCUCAUAUCUGAGAGGGCACUCCCAACGAAACCUUUCAAAAUAUUCAGCUUUCUUUCCCCCCGAUAAUACCUCUGCAAACAAGCUAUACCAGAGCAAGAAUAUCUCAUAUCAUCAGGGUUAAAAGCAAGAGUAUCCCAUAUCAUGCUUUUUCCCUGUCUUUUCCUUUGGCAUUUUUCUUACCUGCAAGACAAGGAGAAAGAAAGCAAUCAGUCAGCACUUGGAAUCAAGCUUCCAGUCAGGAACUAACUGCCUGGAACCCCUUACCUGAUUACUUACCUGGCAUUGCUCUCGAGUACUCAUCUUCAACAUCUUAUGCUUCCAGGGAAGAUAUCGCAUCUGCCUGAGGAACAGAUAGGGCAAGUGAGAAGGAUACAAGGAAGCAUGUGGAGACAUGCGUAACAGCACAUGAGCCGAUACAUCCACUACUCUGUCAAAAGCAAAAGUAUCCCAUAUCAGCAGGGUCGAACGUACUCUAGAUUUGAUGGACUUGUUUUGUCCCUCAAAUUCUUCAGUCGGCCUUAUGCUCCGGAGGAAACCAGAAAACCCUCCAGCCCAGUUCAAGAAUAAGCCUGUGGAAAGUUACUUCUUCAAAAGCAAAAGUAUCUCAUAUCAUCUCUUCUCAUUUUUCUUCUCUUUAUCCUUCAUGCUGCCUGUAAGAUAGGGAGAAUGAGAGCAAUCAGCCGAAACUCGAAAUCAAACUUCUGACCUGGGACUGAUUGCUUGGAGCUCUGAUUGCUUACCUUGUCUGUCACCUCUUUCAGCAGAUCCCCUAGCUCGGCGACUUGGGGGACUCCUACUACAUGGUUUGUAUCGCGCUUGACCAAGCCUGAAACUACAAGUAAGCUUCAAGUGAAAUUGAUACAUUACCUUGUGCGUCUCCACCAGUUAAAGAUACCACCCCUGGAUGGAGGAAGAGUACUUCUAAAGAAGAUGCAACAUCUACCUAUGAGACAGAUAAGGCAAGUGAAGACGAUACCACACUUCGGUACUUAGAAGUUUCGUGAUUACGAGAUCAUUCUCCCACAAUAUUUCCUAAUGUCAUUUGUACUAAAUCAUUCACUUGUACUAACUAAAGGAGAGCUUGAACCUAUGUACUUGUGUAAACCCUUCACAAUUAAUGAGAACUCCUCUAUUCCGUGGACGUAGCCAAUCUGGAUGAACCACGUACAUCUUGUGUUUGCUUUCCUAUCUCUAUCCAUUUAUAUACUUAUCCACACUAAUGACCGGAGCAAUCUAGCGAAGAUCACAAAAAGCAACCGUUUUCGCUACCUAGGAUCUAUCUUGCAAAAGAACAGAGAAUUAGAUGGAGAUCUCAACCAUAGAAUACAAGCUGGAUGGAUGAAGUGGAAGAGUGCAUCCGGCGUGUUGUGUGACCGUCGUAGGCCACUGAAGCUUAAGGGAAAAUUUUAUAGGACGACAAUAAGGCCAGCGAUGCUGUAUGGCACAGAAUGUUGGGCGGUGAAGCAUCAAUACGUACACAAAAUAGGUGUAGCGGAGAUGAGGAUGCUUCAUGGGAUGUGUGGGCACACGAGAAAGGAUAAGAUUGGGAAUGAGGAUAUCCGAGGUAAAGUAGGAGUAGCCGAAAUUGAAGGAAAGAUGAGAGAAAAUCGGUUACGGUGGUUUUGACAUGGGUAAAGAAGGCCUACUGACGCUCCGGUUCGAAGAUGUGACUACGGGACAAAGGUUCAGGGCUGAAGGGGUAGAGGAAGACCUAGGAAAACUUUGGAAGAGACCCUAAGAAAAGACUUAGAGUACUUGGAUCUAACGGAGGACAUGACACAAAACCGAGCGCAAUGGCGUUCUAGGAUUCAUAUAGCCGACCCUACUUAGUGGGAAAAGGCUUUGUUGUUGUUGUUGUUGUAAUUGUUCUUACUCAACUCCAUUGUUUCUUCAAUCUUUACCUUACAUGGUGUACGAUCCAUUAGGUUCUUUUUAACGAGGCAGUGAGUGAUUGUUACUCUUAACAAUUGAUUGUGAAUUGAAAGAACAUUUCAAUUCUCCCUUUGAUGAAGAUUACCAAGGCUUCCACAAACUGUGAGUGACACCUAGCAGUAUGUCAUCGCUACCCAAGCUAAUCAGAAGAGGUGGAAAACGUAUUCAAUUUAGGAUUGAUUACAAUGCAAUAUGGUCUUUCUCUAAUACAAUACUCUUGACCACAUUGUUUGGUUUGAUAGUUUAUUCAUGUCUACUAUUCAAUGUGAUUCUUUUACUUAUAUGAUUACCCUGAAUGUGAUUUGAAACGACUUCCGAAAUCUCAUUCAUACUCUAGCCAGAGAUUCUUAAUCAUAUCAUAGAGUAUUCUCCCUCAAACGGUUUGAAGGUUAGAGAUCCUUUGUUGUGCAUUUACUUGCCUCCAUGCCUAAGUGGCUUAACCCUAACUAUGCCGUGGACACCCUAUGAUGGAGUGACUUUGAUAUAGUCAAAGAUCAAAGACCUAACCACAAGACAACUAUGAUGCCUCAGGUCAAAUGACUACUUUGCAUUAUCCCUACCAUGAGUUCUCAUGUGACAUGAGUAUGAGAACUCCUUGUUGAUCGUGUUUAGUGGACUCAUUCUCUAUUGAGCACCUACAUACUUGUCUUGGUGUCAGUCACACCAAUGACUAAAGACCAGUCACUCACUGUAAGAGAAGACAUAGCACGUACUAAUGUUAACGGACUAUCAAUGCCUAAUUAGCAAUCCUAUGAUCAGGAACCUUUAAGAUAUGCAUACGAAAUGAAUCUAACUUCUUUAGAUCACAUCCUCCCAAUUACAUAUUCUUUGAACUUAUCAUUUAAGCGUAUAACAUUUGGGGUGGAAAAAAAAAAACAAUUUGGAUCAUUUUAAAAAGGAGGCCCAAACUUCCAAUUUUUUCAAAUUAAUAUCAGAGGUAUUAAUAGUUGACAUUUUAAGCCACUCUCGAACUGCCAACAGGCAAUAGCAGUAGAAACAUGUAAUCCCCCUCUGUCAACAAUAUGAAGCAUGUUAUUUUUCUUUGCGAACAAUUUAACAUUGCAAUUUCCGUUUGGUAAGUUGUUAACAGUAUAGUGGAGUGACUUCUUUCUUUUUCUUUUUCUUUUUUUUUCUUUGGAGGAAAAACUAAAACGACUUAAAUCGUUAACUAUUUAAUAUUUUAGGUAGUAAUGUAAAAAUUUUGAAAGGUCGCCUUUUUGAAAGUGACCCAAUUAAACAUUUUUGGUGUAUUACGUGUAAUUAACUCUAAUUUGUUUUUCUUUGUUUUUUUCUGUGUCUUUUUCCAAUGGCAAGUUUUUUUUUUUUUUUUUUUAACAAGUAUUAUCUAUACUGAGAGGGAGGGGGUGGACUUAGCCUCAUAAUGAGUUAGCAAUAAUGUGGUUCAAAUUUGUCUUUGGCGAGAAUCGAACCUAAGAUCUCUUACUUAUAAAUGAAGAGAAAUAUCACUAGACUGUAAUACUAACUACUAAAAGGCUUCCAAGGGUAAGUUAGGUAAGUAGAACUUGACUUCUAUUCAAGUCCUUGCAAGUCUACUCCCUCCCAUCUUUAUGUUUGACGUGCCUUUAAAACACUCAUCUGAGUUUCUUCUUCAGAUGCGAAAGUUUGUUAAAGAAAAUAAUGAUGAAUAUGUUAAUUCUUCCCUCGACUUCUUCUUCUUCAUUCUCUUUUGGUGGUUUUCUUUGCAACCUUCGCUUUUGGAGUUGCUCGAUUGCCACAAGAUGCAGGUACGUAGUACAUUUAACCUUAAUAUUUACAUUUAACCUUUGCAACCUCAUUUGUUGCCAAUCAACGUCAUGCCACAAAAGAAUUGACAUUUUGGUUAGAAAACAUUGAUAUUAUUGUUGCAUUCAUAUUUAGAAUAGAAAUGUGAUUGUGUAAAUUCUAGGGAAUCUGGGAAAAUAUCUUAUAUUCCUAUUAGGAUUCGAUUACCUAUUAAAUAUUGUAAUCCUAAAGGGAAAGGUUUUACCCUUCCUACUACUAUAAAUAAAGGCACAAUAGGGUGAAUCAAACACACCUCACAAUUAAAUCAAUAUCUUUUCUCUCUCAAUAUUUCCGAACCCCUCUCUCUCUCUCUCUCUCUAAACCCUCGAUCGUUCAAUCAAAUAGGCCUACAACAAGUUAUCAGCAUGCUCUUGCCAGAAGUUGAGGAAUUGAAGCAUCGUUGGAGGAGGCUAUCAUCCACCAAAUUCAAAGGCUUAGUCGUUUUCUGCUAAUCAGAUACGCUUAAAAUAAAAGAAGAUAUUUGAAACAUCCAAAAAGCAUGAAAACAUUCCCCAUGAUGCAUGAACCCCUCUAUUUUUAUAUAUAUUGUAUAUGUUCAUAUAUUUGUCAAUAUAUAUAUUUGUUUCAUGCAUCGCACAAUUAAAUUGUUAUGUGGAAUUUGUGAGUCAAAGUACAAAAUUAAAUUAGAAGCAAAUAUGGGUUUCCUAAACCCUAAGGGAUUUGAAAAAAAAAAAAAAGGGAAAUUGGGCAUGGUGCGGCACACCUACCGCACCACCACUAUGCGUACUGAUACCAGGCCUCGGCCUGGGGUCUAAAUGGAUAGGCUUGCAGCCCUUCACCCUUGCACCAUGGUCCUUAGCCACGUAACAAACCCAGGCCUGCAGCCUUCAUUCAAAUCCAGCCCAGUUGGUUGGGUGUUUCCCACGACAUGCACCAGCUUACAAGGCUGGGCCUUUUCUCCUGUAACCCAAACCCGCAUGCCAGCUUUUAUUGGACCUGGUCGUGCCACUCUGUAGGCCCUUAGACUUGUCCUGUCUCUAGAUCCGUGACCUGCAGCCACCCCACGGGUUGCUUUAGCAGCUACCCGGGCUUUUUCCUCACAGCACCAAGCCCAAAUUAUUUCGGGGCUAUAUUUUCGAUCCAAUAAUAUUAUUUUAAUAUUAUUUAGCUUCUACAAUCGACUCGGUAUGGCCUGAUUUAUUGAAUUAAUUAAAAGUGACCUGCAGUCCAUUCAUCUGAUAACGAAUCCAAAAUUAUUGACCUGAAGAUCACUUUUGGAAAUUAACGAUUCAAUAAUUUAUUUUUAUACUUUGAACCGUCACAUACUUCCGUAUUAACGAAGCUCUCACACUUAAGUUCCCGAAGAACCUCAAAUCCACUAUAUCCAAAUUAGUAUAUUGCAUGAACCUUUCAUUAUGAACUAAUUGUUCAUAAAACUAAAUUGAACCUGUAGUUUCAAAUUUAGUGCCUUUGAAACCCGAAGUUUUCAUUCAAAACAUACCACAUGAAACUUGUAGUUUUCAUGCAUAAAUUAAACCACUACAUGCCUAUAGAACCUGUAUGUUCUACAAUUUAUGUCUAUGGCUUACCAUAUGACUAAUCACGUUUUCACCCUCCGUUUUAGGGACAUGUCGAACUUGAACAAGCUCAAUUUAUCCACUCUAGAAGUCUCUGGAAGAAACUAUCUGAAGUGGGUUUAAGACGUGAAGCUCUAUCUCACUGCAAAGGGUAUUAGAGCCACCAUUGAGACACCCAUCGCCGACAAACUUGUUGACGAAGCUCAAAAGGCUACUGCAAUGAUCUUCAUCUGAAGACAUAUUCAUGAUGCACUGCAGACUGAGUAUCUCGCUGAGGAUGACCCACGCACCCUCUGGUUUGCUCUGGCCGACCGUUUCAAUCACCAGCAAGACAUAUACUUGCCUGAAGCAAGACACGACUAGCAACAUCUUCACUUACAGGACUUUAAGUCCGUGAAUGAAUACAACUCUGAAGUUUGUAAAAUCCGUUCUCUAUUGAAAUUCUGCAAAGUGGAACUAACCGAAUUAGAUCCCUUGGAAAAGACCUAUUCGACCUUCCAUGCCACCAAUAUUGUCCUGCAACAACAAUAUAGGGCACAUAAAUUCACCAAGUUUUUGGAUUUGAUCUCUGUUUUACUUAUCGCUGAAAAGCAAAACCAACUUUGAUGAAGAAUCAUCAAGCUCGAUCCACUGGCUCAAACGCCGCGCCUGAAGCGCAUGCGACCUAUUCUAGCAGCCAUAAACGACGAAAGAAUCGUCAUGGCCAUGGCAAUGGGCGGCAAGCCCAACCACGGGCCCAAGGUCAACAAAAUAUCGCACCUAAAGGAAGAAAUGUGACCCAGCAGCGUCCAUCACUCGCCCCUAAGGUCCCAAACUUCAAGAACAAGGGCAAAGCUCCCGUUCAAGCUGCUUCUAUUGAACUAGACAUGUGCUAUCGCUGUGGAUCAAGGAAUCGUUGGUUAUGCAUAUGCCGAGCUUCCCCUGAGGCUAUUGCCAAAUAUCAUUCUCGUUGUGAGUCUAACUUUGCACAUGUGGAUCAUCUGGAAGAUGCAACUACAUCAAUGGAGAUAUCGGAUUUCCAGGAGGCGUUAGCACUUAUGGAUGAAUAAAUUAGACAUAUUUUUAGGGUGUUUACCCCUAGUGGCCGAACCCACUAGGAGUGGCUGGCCCUACCCCCUAUUUUGCUAGGUUUAUGGUUUAAUUUUGAACAAUUUUUCUAUGUAUUUGGAAUAAUUUGUUUGGUUUUGGUUUGUUUUGAAUUAUGGGUUGUUAUUUGAAUGGAUAUUAUUUUCUUGAAUUGCUUAAUUGAAUGAAUGGACUUAUAUUUAUACAUGUGACCAAUUCAAUCAAUUUAUUUCUAGGUAUGUCUAGUGGGGAAGUUAGUUGUCUUUUAGAUAGUGCAACCACGCAUACCAUCUUACGUGAACGACACUAUUUUACUAACUUAAUACCCAAGAAAGCUCAUUUGACAACUCUCUCAGGCCUAUCCAACUUGAUUGAAGGAUACAGAAAGACACGUAUCAUGUUGUCUAAUGAUACAAUUUUGACCAUUAAGGAGGCACUCUAUUCUCCACGUUCCGGAAGAACCUUGCUGAGUUUUAGAGAUGUUCGAGAUAAUAAAUAUCAUCUUAUAACCACUGAAGAUCAUGGUUCUGAAUUUCUUUGUAUCACUUCGUAUGAAUAUGGCCAGAAGCAUAUUCACGAGAAGUUGGAACGAUUGCCGAAUGGGUUGUACAUCACAACCAUUCGCGGCAUAGAAGCCCAUAGUGUGGCCGGCCCUAUGCCUGAGUUCCCGAACACUUUGUUGCUUUGGCAUGAUCGUUUGGGACAUCCUGGACAUGACAUGAUGCGCCGUAUCCUCAAAUCUUCACACGGGCAUAAGUUACACCCCUAUGUUGGACUCCCACCAUGCAAAGCGUGUUCUUUAGGGAAGUUAAAUACUCAACCCUCAUAUACAAAGAUUAUUCAUGACCCCUCUAAAUUUCUUCAGAGGAUUCAAUGGGACAUUUGUGGACCAAUCCAACCAACCUGCAGACCAUUUAAAUAUUUUAUGGUGUUGGUUAAUGCAUCAACAAGAUGGUCACAUGUUUGCUUGUUAUCCACACGCAACGCCGCAUUUGCUAAACUCCUAUCUCAAAUCAUUAAGCUAAGGGUUCACCACCCUGAUUAUCCGAUCAAGUCGAUUCAACUGGAUAACGCUGGAGAGUUUACGUCACAGACUUUUGAUGAUUAUUGCAUGUUAGUAAGGAUUGAUGUGGAACAUCCUAUGCCCCAUGUUUACACCCAAAACGGCCUGGCAGAAGCUUUCAUAAAGCGCCUUCAAUUGAUAGCUCGGACUUUGGUUAUGAGAACCAAACUACCGGUAUUUGCCUAGGGCUAUGCAAUAUUGCACGCAGCUAUGUUGGUCGUCCUAAGGCCCACCGUUACCCAACCACAUUCACCGUUACAGUUGGUCACGGGAUACGAGCCUGACGUUUCGCAUUUACGGCUGUUUGGGUGAGCCAUUUAUGUGCCAAUAGCGCCGCCGCUACGUACCAAAAUGGGUCCUAAGAGAAAAAUGGGAAUCUAUGUCGGUUAUGAUUUGCCAUCAAUUGUUCACUACUUAGAACCCUUGACAAGAGAUCUCUUUACCGCACAUUUUGCUGAUUGUCACACUGAUGAGAUAGUCUUCUCGUCAUUAGGGGGAGAUAAGCAUGCUAACGUUCCCGUAGAAUGCUAGGAAUUGUCAUCGUAUGCUCCCACUAUGUCUCAUUUAGAUCCCUGCACUGCCUAGUCUGAAACUGAGGUGCAUCGAAUUAUAGAUCUUCAGAGCAUUGCUCAAAGCAUGCCAGAUGCUUUUAAUGAUCUAGCAAAGGUGACAAGAUCACACAUACCCGCUGCAAACACACCUGCAAAGAUAGAUGUACCUCAUGUACGUCAAUAACCUGCCUGGGAAGGCUGGACCAUCCCCGAAGAUGGGGAAGCCGCACCCUCCACACGGCAAGGUACAUUGGCGACUAGCCAAUCAUCUACUUCGACCCUGAAGCAUGGCAGACCCCUUGGUUCAAAGGAUUCACAACCCCGGAAGAGGAAAAUGGCACCAACUAGUGACCCUAGUUUGAAUCCGACCAUUGCUCAACGCAUGAGGUUAUUAUAGAUUACGAUGAUGCUUCAGAUGAAACAUGUCGACCUCCCGAGAAUCACGAGAUUUCGGUUCCCUACACAGUAUUGGAUGAGGUUUAGAAUAGGAAUGAGAUGAUCGUCGAUGAUGCAUUAGCGUACUUAGUAGCUACGAGCAUCAUGCUUAGCGAUGACAUUGAACCACGUUUCGUCGAUGAAUGCCGACGUAGAACCGAUUGGUCAAACUGGAAACAAGUAAUCCAGGUCGAACUCGAUUCGCUCGCAAAACGUAAGGUAUUUGGACCUAUCAUUCUUACACCACCACGUGUGAAGCCCGUUGGCUACAAGUGGGUUUUCAUGAGGAAGCGUAAUGAAAAUAAUGAAAUAGUGCGAUACAAAGCACGCCUCGUAGCACAAGGAUUUUCUCAACGCCUAGGGAUUGAUUACGAGGAGACGUAUUCCCCCGCAAUGGACAUUAUAACGUUCCGCUACCUAAUCAGUUUGGUAGUUUUCAAAAAACUGAAUAUGUAGCUUAUGGACGUGGUAACUAGCGUAUCUCUAUGGGGAUCUAGAUACGGAAAUUUAUAUGAAAGUUCCAGAAGGACUUCCAUUGACUGGUUCAAAUAGUUCUAAACCACGGAACACUAUCUCAAUUAGGUUGAGAAGGUCACUUUACGGAUUAAAACAAUCUGGGCGGAUGUGGUAUAACUGCCUGAGUGAAUAUUUGACAAGUCAUGGUUAUGUGAACAACGAACUAUGCCCAUGCGUGUUCAUAAAGAAGUCAUAUUCCGGAUUUGCAAUCGUUGCAAUUUAUGUCGAUGACAUGAACCUCAUUAGGACUCCCGCAGAACUUGAGGAAAUUGCUACACAUUUGAAAUCAGAAUUUGAGAUGAAAAAUCUUGGGAAAACUCGAUACUAUCUCGGUUUGGAGAUCGAGUAUUGUUCGGAUGGAAUCCUAGUACAUCAAUCGAACUACACCCAAAAGGUGUUGCGAUGUUUUAAUGAGGAUAAAGCAAAGCCUUCUAGUACACCCAUGGUCGUUCGAACUCUAGAUGCUAAACGAGAUCCCUUCCGUCCAAAGGAGGAUGAGGAAGAGAUUUUGGAACUCGAAGUUCCUUACCUAAGUGCAAUUGGGGCUUUAUUGUACUUGGCUCAGUGCACUGGACCCGACAACUCCUUCACUGUGAAUCGAUUGGCUAGAUAUAGUAAUGCGCCCACACGCAGGCACUGGAAUGGUGUUAAAGACAUUUUCCGUUACCUCAAAGGUACUAUGGAUUUGGUUUGUUCUAUACUCGUGAAUCUCUUAGUGUUGCCGCCCCUUAUGGCCCUCAGAUUGAUUCUCGCCUUGUUGGUUACGCAGAUGCUGGAUAUCUGUCUGAUCCACAUAGAGCACGUUCUCAAACAGGUUAUGUCUUUACUGUUGGAAACACUGCUAUAUCUUGAAGGUCUACCAAGCAAACGCUAGUUUUGACUUUGUCUAACCAUGUUGAGAUUCUCGCCCUACAUGAAGCAUUGCGUGAGUGCUUUUGGCUGAGAGAAGUUAUGGAACAUAUUCGAAGCACUAGUGGUCUUACAUCAGUCGUUAACCUUCCUACGACAAUGCAGCAUGUAUCGAGCAGCUGAAGAAGGGAUACAUCAAGGGAGACAACACCAAGCACAUAGCGUCAAAGUUCUUUUACUCACACUAGCAGCAGCAGCAUCAGAACAUUGAAAUCAAGCAAAUUCGUUCCUAGGACAACCUGGUUGAUCUUUUUACCAAGUCAUUACCCAAGUCAACAUUUCAGAAGCUCGUCCAAAGAAUUAGUAUAAGUAAAUUAUCUGAGUUGAAUCGCUUGUAGUUCUCUUAUUUAGAAGUUAUGUCUAACUCAGGAGGAGUAUCUAGAAGCAUACUCAUAUGAUCUUAAUGUACUCUUUUUCCUACAAUUAGGAUCAUUUUUCCCACUGGGUUUUUGCUACCUAACGAGGUUUUAAUGAGGCACCCAUCCUGGGAUAAUUAUACUCCGUUAAGUUUACUACCUUCGUCCAGUUUGACGUUCGUUUUAGACAGUAUGCAUACUUCUCACUUUUCUCCUUAGUCUAUGGGUUUUCCCCAUGCCUUGGGUUUUACCAUAACGAGGUUUUGUGAGUUUUACUACAAAUGCAUAUUUCACUUAAAUUUGAGACUUGCGAUCACCCGUUAUGUCGAUGACUUCAUCAACUACUCUGCUAAAGAUCUGAUGCGAUGGUUUGUUGAGUAUUUACACACUCAAGAAGGAGUGUUGCAGUCAUAUUUGGAAUAAGAAUGUGAUUGUGUAAAAUCCCAAGGAAUCUGGGAAAGUAUCUUAUAUUCCUAUUAGGAUUAGAUUACUUAUUAAAUAUUGUAAUCCUAAAAGGGAAGAUUUUACCCUUCCUACUACUAUAAAUAAAGGCACAAUGAAAUGAAUCAAAUACACAUCACAAUGAAAUCAAUCUCUCUUCUCUCUCAAUAUUGCCAAACCCCUCUCUCUCUAAACCCUAGAUCGUUCAAUCAAAUAAGCCUAUAACAAUUAUCUUUUUUUUGUUGUUAAUGUUAUUACUGAUGUUGACUUUUUAACAUCUACUUUGGAGAUGCUUAGCAAUUUCAAACAUAUUUAGGUUUUUUGCACGGAUACGAAUGAAGAUUUUAGGCUUAAAUGUCAAAUCGGUCGAGAAAUGCAGAAACAAAGCCAAAAACACUUUAAACAUAACCACAUAACUAACAGAGGAUACCACUUUAAACAUAACCACAUAACCAUUUCAAGAGUGCACCAAAUUGCUUAACAAAAAUAUCUUCUGAUCUCAUAAUCUCUCAUCCAACCAAUUCAAAAACAUCGAACACUACAUGCAAUUUGAAGAAAGGAACAAGUAAAGAUUACGACAUAAUAUGUAAC